CCUACGGGCGGCAGCAGUGAGGAAUAUUGGUCAAUGGACGAGAGUCUGAACCAGCCAAGUAGCGUGAAGGAUGACUGCCCUAUGGGUUGUAAACUUCUUUUAUAUGGUAAUAAAAUGUUCCACGUGUGGGAUUUUGUAUGUACCAUAUGAAUAAGGAUCGGCUAACUCCGUGCCAGCAGCCGCGGUAAUACGGAGGAUCCGAGCGUUAUCCGGAUUUAUUGGGUUUAAAGGGAGCGUAGGUGGAUUGUUAAGUCAGUUGUGAAAGUUUGCGGCUCAACCGUAAAAUUGCAGUUGAAACUGGCAGUCUUGAGUACAGUAGAGGUGGGCGGAAUUCGUGGUGUAGCGGUGAAAUGCUUAGAUAUCACGAAGAACUCCGAUUGCGAAGGCAGUUCACUGGACUGCAACUGACACUGAGGCUCGAAAGUGUGGGUAUCAAACAGGAUUAGAUACCCUUGUAGUC
rnacentral:rRNA from 1 species